rfam:Camelus ferus unplaced genomic scaffold scaffold1091, whole genome shotgun sequence.
GAGGGUAUAGCUCAGUGGUAGAGCACAUGCUUAGCAUGCACGAGGCCUGGGGUUCAAUCUCCUGUACCUCCA